rnacentral:rRNA from 1 species
UACGUAGGUGGCAAGCGUUGUCCGGAUUUACUGGGUGUAAAGGGCGUGCAGCCGGGCUGACAAGUCAGAUGUGAAAUCCCGCGGCUCAACCGCGGAACUGCAUUUGAAACUGGGGGCCUUGAGUGGGCGAGAAGAAGGCGGAAUGCGUGGUGUAGCGGUGAAAUGCAUAGAUAUCACGCAGAACCCCGAUUGCGAAGGCAGCCUUCCGGCGCCCUACUGACGCUGAGGCACGAAAGUGCGGGGAUCGAACAGG